rnacentral:rRNA from 1 species
CCCCUAGACGUUCUGGGCUGCACGCGCGCUACAAUAAUACGCACAGCGAGUAUCACCGAGCUCGAAAGGGCAAGGUAAACAAUAGAAAAGGUACUGUAAUGGUUAUAGAUCCUUGUAAUUAUUGAUCUUCAACGAGGAAUUCCUAGUAAGUAUGUGUCAUCAUCACGCACUGAUUACGUCCCUGCCCUUUGUACACACCGCCCGUCGCUCCUACCGAUUGAAUGGUUUAGUGAGAUCUCCGGAUUGGCUCUGUAGGUCCCGCAAGGGAUUUAUUAGUAGCCAAGAAGCUGCUCAAACUUGAUCAUUUAGAGGAAGUAAAAGUCGUAACA